rnacentral:rRNA from 1 species
CGACGAUCCCUAGCUGGUCUGAGAGGAUGACCAGCCACACUGGAACUGAGACACGGUCCAGACUCCUACGGGAGGCAGCAGUGGGGAAUAUUGCACAAUGGGCGCAAGCCUGAUGCAGCCAUGCCGCGUGUAUGAAGAAGGCCUUCGGGUUGUAAAGUACUUUCAGCGGGGAGGAAGGGAGUAAAGUUAAUACCUUUGCUCAUUGACGUUACCCGCAGAAGAAGCACCGGCUAACUCCGUGCCAGCAGCCGCGGUAAUACGGAGGGUGCAAGCGUUAAUCGGAAUUACUGGGCGUAAAGCGCACGCAGGCGGUUUGUUAAGUCAGAUGUGAAAUCCCCGGGCUCAACCUGGGAACUGCAUCUGAUACUGGCAAGCUUGAGUCUCGUAGAGGGGGGUAGAAUUCCAGGUGUAGCGGUGAAAUGCGUAGAGAUCUGGAGGAAUACCGGUGGCGAAGGCGGCCCCCUGGACGAAGACUGACGC